GGUUCUUAUUUUUUAUUUACAAAAUGGUUUGGUCAUUCUUUCCAUUUAAGAGUAUUUGAUAAAAAUGGUAUUGAAAUGAACUUUGAUCAUGUACAUGUCGAUGAUGUUGAUAUUGCACCUAUUGAUUCUCUUCAAGAUCUGCCUCCCACUGCUGUUGCUGAACAAGCCACUGGACAUAUUAUUCGUUUUGUUCGAAUGGCUGCUGACUAUUUUCGGCUUCCUGAUGAUGUUUCCAUAAAGGCUAAACUUGAUUUGGGUGUUAAAAGUAUCACAAUCAGACUUUUGCAUCUUAAUCCU